AGGAAAUGCUGGCACCUGGGCCCAGAAGCCAGGGCCUCUAACUCCUGGGGUUGAUUUCUUCAGUGAAGUUGUACCCUACAAAGGGAAUAUGGCCAAAGCGGCACUCAACUGAAGGCUGAUAUCAGGCGAUUAGACAGCCAUGCAUUCUGCGUUUGUCUGGAAUGGAUUGUAGAGAGAUGGACUUAUAUGAGGACUACCAGUCCCCGUUUGAUUUUGAUGCAGGAGUGAACAAAAGCUAUCUCUACUUGUCUCCUAGUGGAAAUUCAUCUCCACCCGGAUCACCUACUCUUCAGAAAUUUGGUCUGCUGAGAACAGACCCAGUCCCUGAGGAAGGAGAAGAUGUUGCUGCCACGAUCAGUGCCACAGAGACCCUCUCGGAAGAGGAGCAGGAAGAGCUAAGAAGAGAACUUGCAAAGGUAGAAGAAGAAAUCCAGACUCUGUCUCAAGUGUUAGCAGCAAAAGAGAAGCAUCUAGCAGAGAUCAAGCGGAAACUUGGAAUCAAUUCUCUACAGGAACUAAAACAGAACAUUGCCAAAGGGUGGCAAGACGUGACAGCAACAUCUGCUUACAAGAAGACAUCUGAAACCUUAUCCCAGGCUGGACAGAAGGCCUCAGCUGCUUUUUCGUCUGUUGGCUCAGUCAUCACCAAAAAGCUGGAAGAUGUAAAGUAUGUCCUCAUUUUUCCUUGCUCAUUAAGUAGCUGACGCAAAUUAAAA
rnacentral:sRNA from 1 species